GACGAACGCUGGCGGCGUGCCUAAUACAUGCAAGUAGAACGCUGAAGGAGGAGCUUGCUUCUCUGGAUGAGUUGCGAACGGGUGAGUAACGCGUAGGUAACCUGCCUGGUAGCGGGGGAUAACUAUUGGAAACGAUAGCUAAUACCGCAUAAGAGUAGAUGUUGCAUGACAUUUGCUUAAAAGGUGCAAUUGCAUCACUACCAGAUGGACCUGCGUUGUAUUAGCUAGUUGGUGGGGUAACGGCUCACCAAGGCGACGAUACAUAGCCGACCUGAGAGGGUGAUCGGCCACACUGGGACUGAGACACGGCCCAGACUCCUACGGGAGGCAGCAGUAGGGAAUCUUCGGCAAUGGACGGAAGUCUGACCGAGCAACGCCGCGUGAGUGAAGAAGGUUUUCGGAUCGGAAAGCUCUGUUGUAAGAGAAGAACGAGUGUGAGAGUGGAAAGUUUACACUGUGACGGUAUCUUACCAGAAAGGGACGGCUAACUACGUG
rnacentral:rRNA from 1 species